rnacentral:tRNA from 1 species
GCGUCCCUAGCUCAGUUGGUUAGAGCACCUGACUUUUAAUCAGGGGGUCCUGGGUUCGAGCCCCAGGGGACGUACCA